GACGAACGCUGGCGGCGUGCUUAACACAUGCAAGUCGAACGGAAAGGCCCUGCUUUUGUGGGGUGCUCGAGUGGCGAACGGGUGGGUAACACGUGAGUAACCUGCCCUUGACUUUGGGAUAACUUCAGGAAACUGGGGCUAAUACCGGAUAGGAGCUCCUGCUGCAUGGUGGGGGUUGGAAAGUUUCGGCGGUUGGGGAUGGACUCGCGGCUUAUCAGCUUGUUGGUGGGGUAGUGGCUUACCAAGGCUUUGACGGGUAGCCGGCAUGAGAGGGUGACCGGCCACAUUGGGACUGAGAUACGGCCCAGACUCCUACGGGAGGCAGCAGUGGGAAAUAUUGCACAAUGGGCGGAAGCCUGAUGCAGCAACGCCGCGUGCGGGAUGACGGCCUUCGGGUUGUAAACCGCUUUCGCCUGUGACGAAGCGUGAGUGACGGUAAUGGGUAAAGAAGCACCGGCUAACUACGUG
rnacentral:rRNA from 1 species